rnacentral:rRNA from 1 species
CAGUAGCCGCGGUAACACGAAGGGUGCAAGCGUUAAUCGGAAUUACUGGGCGUAAAGCGUGCGUAGGCGGUUUGUUAAGUCUGCUGUGAAAUCCCCGGGCUCAACCUGGGAAUGGCAGUGGAUACUGGCAAGCUAGAGUGUGUCAGAGGAUGGUGGAAUUCCCGGUGUAGCGGUGAAAUGCGUAGAGAUCGGGAGGAACAUCAGUGGCGAAGGCGGCCAUCUGGGACAACACUGACGCUGAGGCACGAAAGCGUGGGGAGCAAACAGGAUUAGAUACCCCGGUAGUCCCUGUCUCUUAUAC